GUGUCAGCAGCCGCGGUAAGACGUAGGAUGCGAGCGUUAUUCGGAUUUAUUGGGCGUAAAGCGUGCGUAGGCGGCUGUUUAAGUCUGGUGUUAAAGCUAGGGGCUCAACCCCUGUGGUGCAUCGGAUACUGGGCAGCUUGAGUGCGGUAGGGGAAGGUGGAAUUCCGAGUGUAGCGGUGAAAUGCGUAGAUAUUCGGAAGAACACCGGUGGCGAAGGCGACCUUCUGGGCCGCAACUGACGCUGAGGCACGAAAGCCUGGGGAGCGAACGGGAUUAGAAACCCUCGUAGUCC
rnacentral:rRNA from 1 species